rnacentral:rRNA from 1 species
AGUGAACGCUGGCGGCGUGCUAACACAUGCAAGUCGAACGAGAACGGAUUAUAGCUUGCUAUAAUUGUCAGCUAAGUGGCGCACGGGUGAGUAAUGUAUAGGUAAUAUGCCUCUUACUAAGGGAUAACAAAUGGAAACGUUUGCUAAUACCUUAUACUCCUUAUUAACAGAAGUUAAUAAGGGAAAGAUUUAUUGGUAAGAGAUUAGCCUGUAUUGUAUCAGUUAGUUGGUGGGGUAAUGGCUUACCAAGACUAUGACACAUAACUGGUUUGAGAGGAUGAUCAGUCACACUGGAACUGAGACACGGUCCAGACUCCUACGGGAGGCAGCAGUGGGGAAUAUUGCACAAUGGACGAAAGUCUGAUGCAGCAACGCCGCGUGGAGGAUGACACAUUUCGGUGCGUAAACUCCUUUUAUAUGAGAAGAUGAUGACGGUAUUAUAUGAAUAAGCACCGGCUAACUCCGUGCCAGCCGCCGCGGUAA